rnacentral:lncRNA from 1 species
UUGAGACCUCGACCACUCAAGGUAGGUCCAGGAGCAUGGAGAUCCGAGAACUCGAUCCUGCUGGUGAGGAGGUCCGUGAAGAGGCUCCUGAUGAGACUUUGGAGACUGGAGCUGGUCGCAAUUGAAUGUUUAAAUUUCUGAGGUCAUCUUGUUCACGAUGACGAUGUUUCUUUGCUCGGAAGACCUUAGUUUUUGAACGAGGACUCAAUUCUUUUUUCCAUCUGGUCUUUUAUGCAUUAAUUACA